UCUUAUGGAUUAGCAAAGAACGUAGUUUCUUGAGAUGGAAUCUACUCCUGGCGAUCAUGCUGUGAA
rnacentral:pre_miRNA from 1 species